rnacentral:rRNA from 1 species
UGGGGAAUAUUGCGCAAUGGGCGAAAGCCUGACGCAGCGACGCCGCGUGAGGGAUGAAGGUUUUCGGAUCGUAAACCUCUGUCAGAAGGGAAGAAACCGCACUGUGCUAAUCAGCAGUGCCUUGACGGUACCUUCAAAGGAAGCACCGGCUAACUCCGUGCCAGCAGCCGCGGUAAUACGGAGGGUGCAAGCGUUAAUCGGAAUUACUGGGCGUAAAGCGCACGUAGGCUGCUUUGUAAGUCAGGGGUGAAAUCCCACGGCUCAACCGUGGAACUGCCUUUGAUACUGCUUAGCUUGAAUCCGGGAGAGGGUGGCGGAAUUCCAGGUGUAGGAGUGAAAUCCGUAGAUAUCUGGAGGAACAUCAGUGGCGAAGGCGGCCACCUGGACCGGUAUUGACGCUGAGGUGCGAAAGCGUGGGGAGCAAACAG